AACGAACGCUGGCGGCGUGUUUAAGACAUGCAAGUCGCACGGGAUAAGACAUGUAGUAAUACUUGUUUUAUUUAGUGGCGCACGGGUGAGUAACACGUGAAUUACAUGCCCUAUAGUGGGGAAUAGCCCAGGGAAACUUGGAUUAAUACCCCAUGGUAUCGAAAGAUUAAAGGUGGCCGCAAGGCUGUCGCUAUAGGAUUGGUUCGCGCCCUAUCAGCUUGUUGGUGAGGUAACGGCUCACCAAGGCAAUGACGGGUACCUGGUCUGAGAGGACGAUCAGGCACACUGGAACUGAGACACGGUCCAGACACCUACGGGUGGCAGCAGUCGAGAAUAAUUCACAAUGGGGGCAACCCUGAUGGUGCAACGCCGCGUGGAGGAUGACGGUCUUCGGAUUGUAAACUCCUGUCAUCUGGGAGAAGGACCUGACGGUAAAUAGCCGGCAGGGUUGAUAGUACCAGAAGAGGAAGGGACGGCUAACUUCGUGCCAGCAGCAGCCGCGG
rnacentral:rRNA from 1 species